UACGAAGGGGGCUAGCGUUGCUCGGAAUCACUGGGCGUAAAGCGCACGUAGGCGGCUUUUUAAGUCAGGGGUGAAAUCCUGGAGCUCAACUCCAGAACUGCCUUUGAUACUGAGAGCUUGAGUCCGGGAGAGGUGAGUGGAACUGCGAGUGUAGAGGUGAAAUUCGUAGAUAUUCGCAAGAACACCAGUGGCGAAGGCGGCUCACUGGCCCGGUACUGACGCUGAGGUGCGAAAGCGUGGGGAGCAAACAG
rnacentral:rRNA from 1 species